GGUUCAGGAUGAACGCUGGCGGCGUGCUUAACACAUGCAAGUCGAACGGAGUUUUUAAACGGAAGUUUUCGGAUGGAAGUUUAGAAACUAGUGGCGGACGGGUGAGUAACGCGUGGGUAACCUGCCUCAGUACAGGGGGAUAACAGUUAGAAAUGACUGCUAACACCGCAUAAUAUAGCGAAACCGCAUGAUUUUUGCUAUCAAAUAUUUAUAGGUAUGAGAUGGGCCCGCGUCUGAUUAGCUAGUUGGUGGGGUAAAAGCCUACCAAGGCGACGAUCAGUAGCCGGCUUGAGAGAGUGACCGGCCACAUUGGGACUGAGACACGGCCCAAGCUCCUACGGGAGGCAGCAGUGGGGAAUAUUGGACAAUGGGGGAAACCCUGAUCCAGCGAACCGCCGCGUGAGUGAAGAAGUAUUUCGGUAUGUAAAGCUCUAUCAGCAGGGAAGAUAAUGACAGUACCUGACUAAGAAGCCCCGGCUAACUACGUGCCAGCCGCUGC
rnacentral:rRNA from 1 species